rnacentral:rRNA from 1 species
UACGGAGGGUGCAAGCGUUGUCCGGAAUCACUGGGCGUAAAGGGCGCGUAGGCGGCUCAUUAAGGCUGUGGUGAAAGUCCGGGGCUCAACCUCGGAUCGGCCGUGGCGACUCGUGGGCUGGAGCACUGUAGAGGCGGGUGGAAUUCCGGGUGUAGCGGUGGAAUGCGUAGAUAUCUGGAAGAACACCAAAGGCGAAGGCAGUGUCCUGGGUGGUCGCUGACGCUGAGAGGCGAAAGCCAGGGGAGCGAACGGG